CAGGGUUUGACAUCCUGCGAAUCCCUUGGAAACUUGGGAGUGCCUUCGGGAGCGCAGAGACAGGUGGUGCAUGGCUGUCGUCAGCUCGUGUCGUGAGAUGUUGGGUUAAGUCCCGCAACGAGCGCAACCCACGUCUUUAGUUGCCAGCAUUCAGUUGGGCACUCUAGAGAGACCGCCGGUGAUAAACCGGAGGAAGGUGUGGAUGACGUCAAGUCAUCAUGCCCCUUACAUCCUGGGCUACACACGUACUACAAUGCUACGGACAAAGGGCAGCAAACUCGCGAGAGCUAGCAAAUCCCAUAAACCGUGGCUCAGUUCAGAUCGUAGGCUGCAACUCGCCUACGUGAAGGAGGAAUCGCUAGUAAUC
rnacentral:rRNA from 1 species